GGGACCCUUUUGUCCCGGCGGGAGAAUAGGGAACCGGGUGGAAAUCCCGGACGGUACCGCCGCUGUAAACGCCGCGGCCCCUCCCAUUGGCGAAAGCCAGCCACCGGGGAAGCCGGGAAGGCAGGGAGACGGCAUGGAGGGAACUCCCUCCACCGGCGUAAGUCAGAAGACCUGCUUGC
rnacentral:ncRNA from 1 species